UGGGGAAUUUUGGACAAUGGACGCAAGUCUGAUCCAGCCAUGCCGCGUGCGGGAAGAAGGCCUUCGGGUUGUAAACCGCUUUUGUCAGGAAAGAAACGAGUUUCUCUAAUACAGAGACUUAAUGACGGUACCUGAAGAAUAAGCACCGGCUAACUACGUGCCAGCAGCCGCGGUAAUACGUAGGGUGCAAGCGUUAAUCGGAAUUACUGGGCGUAAAGCGUGCGCAGGCGGUUAUAUAAGACAGAUGUGAAAUCCCCGGGCUCAACCUGGGAACUGCAUUUGUGACUGUAUAGCUAGAGUACGGCAGAGGGGGAUGGAAUUCCGCGUGUAGCAGUGAAAUGCGUAGAUAUGCGGAGGAACACCGAUGGCGAAGGCAAUCCCCUGGGCCUGUACUGACGCUCAUGCACGAAAGCGUGGGGAGCAAACA
rnacentral:rRNA from 1 species